rnacentral:rRNA from 1 species
UGGGGAAUUUUGGACAAUGGGCGAAAGCCUGAUCCAGCAAUGCCGCGUGUGUGAAGAAGGCCUUCGGGUUGUAAAGCACUUUUGUCCGGAAAGAAAUCCUUGGCUCUAAUACAGUCGGGGGAUGACGGUACCGGAAGAAUAAGCACCGGCUAACUACGUGCCAGCAGCCGCGGUAAUACGUAGGGUGCAAGCGUUAAUCGGAAUUACUGGGCGUAAAGCGUGCGCAGGCGGUUUGCUAAGACCGAUGUGAAAUCCCCGGGCUCAACCUGGGAACUGCAUUGGUGACUGGCAGGCUAGAGUAUGGCAGAGGGGGGUAGAAUUCCACGUGUAGCAGUGAAAUGCGUAGAGAUGUGGAGGAAUACCGAUGGCGAAGGCAGCCCCCUGGGCCAAUACUGACGCUCAUGCACGAAAGCGUGGGGAGCAAACAGGAUUAGAUACCCCUGGGUAGUCCACGCCCUAAACGAUGUCAACUAGUUGUUGGGGAUUCAUUUCCUUAGUAACGUAGCUAACGCGUGAAGUUGACCGCCUGGGGAGUACGGUCGCAAGAUUAAAACUUAAAUGAAUUGACGGGGUCAUAGCUGUUUCCU